rfam:Schistosoma haematobium scaffold925_3, whole genome shotgun sequence.
AUCCAGCUGACCAGUCCCAAAUAGGACGAAAUGCGCGUCCUGGAU